AUGCUGGAGCGGCUGUGGGGAGAAAGGAACCCCGCUCCACUGCCGGUGGGAGCGCAGACUCGGGCAGCCGCUGUGGGAAUCUGUGUGGAGACUUCUUUCUUUCCUUCUUUCUUUCCUUCUUUCACUGUACCAGGGAUCAAACUCAGGAUCUUGCGCUCACGGAACAGUCAUUGCCUGGGUCUCCUUGGGCCGGCGCCUGGGGCACUGGGCACGGACUGCCGUUUCGCCUUCGGUUACAUCACGCCACGCGUAGUCGUGUCCAUUUCUCUAUCAGAAAUCACCUCGUUCCUCGUUCCCUCGUCUGCUGAAUUCCCCUCUAAACUGUGGCAUAAGCGCACGAAUCUUCCCCGCGGCCUUCUCCACCGCCAGGCACCCGGGAGCUCUGAUCUUCACCACGAGCAUCACUUCCUGGCUCCAACGCGGAUCCCUCAGCUUGGUGACACAAAUCCUGCAUCUCACCGGCGUAGGUUUUCCGGCUUCCACCACUGGCCUUUGGGCCUCCCAGGUGCGGACCCUCAAUACGGACAAGCAGGAGACAUCGCCGAGGGCGCCGGGCCACCGGCUGGACUCGAGGAGGACACUGCCUUGGACUCUACGCCUUUAGCUGGACUUGCGUGGGAAACUGCUGGGAUCCAGGCCCACACCUGGAUUCUUUGCACCUCCGGUGUGCGGUUAAUCUCUAGCCCUCCUUUGUAUUUGACUUUUGGGGUAAAUAUCAUAAAAUAAUCCUAUAAUCUAUGUGUCCUGUACUAAAUCUAUUUCCCUUGCAAACCUUGACUACAACAGGGCUCAUCUUUGAUUCCUUUUUUUAUAAAUCAUGUGUUCAUCAGGUCCUCUUGGAUUUAUCUUCAAAAGACAUCCAACCCCGCCUUGCUCACAGGGGCAAGGUCUGGAGUUUGAUCCCCGGUGCCCAAAAAAGCCCUGACAUCCGGGACCCUCUGCUACUAGGGUUGACCUUUUCCCACCUGUUCACUGGGUUCUUACUUUGGCUUAUUCCCAGUACAUCGAGAAACCCUGCUAAAACCCAGGCCCAGUGUGGUAUGUGUGCACUGCCGCUGUGACGACCCACGCCAGAGUCUUGGGCUGAACCUUCCUCUCUCUCUGACGUCCCUCACACCCUAUCCUUCCCAACUCAUUCUCUCCGCUUCUCCACUGCACGGGACAGUUCCGAACCCACCUGGGGUUCCGCCUGGAACCUCUUGCCAGCUUCUUUCUGUAUUUUCAUCCUACUAAACAUUCAAACUUUCCAAUCUCCUGAUUAUAUUGCCCCCUCUUCCCACUCUCCACAAGAUCCAUUCAAGCAUAAGUUAGGAUCUGGCACGUGAUUGAUUCUCAAGAAUUGUUAAAUAUACAAAUAAAUUACAAUCCUAAAGUUUCAGCCAGGUAUGGAGGUGCACACCUGUAAUCCCAGCACUUGGGAGGCUGAGGCAGGAGAAUCGCAGAGUUUGAGACCAGCCUGGGCUACAUAGUGAGACCCUGUCUCAAAAAACCACCCCCUCAAAAAAAACCCCAAAUCCUGAUGUUUCCUUUCUUGCCUGUUUUGAGAUAGGGUCUCUUGCUAAAUCUGGGAUUACAGCCAUGUGCCCCACACCCGACACAAGCCUUUGUGAUACAUUAUCCAAUAGGCCAUUUAAACUAUGAUGCCAAAGCAAUAAAUCUACUGAUUUCGUAUAAUUUGCACAGUCGUCACAAUGGAAUUUCGGUUUAGGAAAGACCAUUCAUACUCUGGCAGGAAAAAGCAAACGUUAGGUGUUCCAGGAAUACUUUUCACUUUUAUAAAUGUUUCUGUUUUUCUAAGAAGCUGUUGGCUGCAAGGAUUUUUUUCCUUGAACUUUAAUACUUCUGAAGUGCGCUUCACAAUGAAGUAUCUCAAUGUUUUUUGCCUCAAACGGGGGAAAAAACUAUAUUAUACUCUGUGGGAGGGGUGCCUGCCAAAAAUACCGAGGGACUUUCCACAUUACUAAAGUCCUAGGCUAGGAUUUAGCUCACUGGUGCUGCCGCCUGCCUUGCAAUCACAAGGACCCGAGUUUGAUCCCUGGUACAAAAACAAACAAAUAAAAAACAAAAACAUAUCGCUUCCCAUAUUACUAAAGUCCCUAAAAGAGCUCAUUUGUCUCUACCAGGAAAAGGUUUAGUGUUAAAUUUGCCAGAAUUUACAAGAAAAGCUGUCCUAUAUUGGAACAAUGGACAAACUCAAGUGUUUCUGUUCAGAAAAGCACACAAUUUUCACCAAAUGGCAAAAAAUAAGUCCAAAGGCCGAAGGAACCAGCCGCACCCCUUCCCAGUGUGUUCGGGCAGUCUUAGGGAACUGGGUACAGUCAAAGGUUUUGGUUAACACCCUCAUUAUUGGAGGGAACUGGAAAACGGGUACAGGGCUGGGGAUUUCGCUUGGUGGCACCUUGCCUGCCUGGCAAGCUCAAGGUCCUGAGUUUGAUCCCCAGUACGGGAAGGAAAAAAAAAAGGGGGGAUACAAAUUCAUCUGGACACCUCAGUUUUAGAACAAGAAAGAAAAAAAAUAAAGGAAUUAUAAACUGGCUGUUUUGGAAUUCACUAGUCCUGCCUGGGCGGAAAAACUCAAAGGAGAUCUAGGACUGAUGGGAGGCCCUUGCACCCCUGGGGCAGAUCAAGAGAUUGUGUCAAUUCAAAACCGAUUUGACCUGUUUUCUGCACAGGGUUCACCUGUUCAACAACAAAUGGGCCUUUCAGCUUGGGAAACUGGAAAACGUUUUGAGGCCAAAAGUAUUAGGAUGGUAGAGGCGGCCAUUCCAGAAUUUCUCUUCAACUAUUUAAUUUGCAAAUACACACCACUGGGACAUAAGGGAGAUGUCAGCAGUAUAAAUAUGACCUACUCUUUAAGAAAACACGCCAGAGGGCAACGGAUUUAGCUCAGUGGCCUGUGCCUGCCUGGUAAGUGCAACAUUCUAAAUUCAAUUCCCAGUACAGAACAAACAAAAACACGGGCAGGCCGGGCAUGGUGGCGCACACCUGUAAUUCCAGCACUCGGGAGGCUGAGGCAGGAGGAUCGCCGCGAGUUCGAGACCAGCCGGGGCUACAUAGUGAGUUCCAGGUCAGUCUCAACUACAUAGUGAGACUCUGUCUCAAAAAACAACAAAAAUAAAAGUAUGACGUUACACCUACAAUCCCACUACUCGGGCGUCUGAGGCAGGAAGAACACCACAAACUCUAGGCUAGUCUGAAUUACGUAGUCCAAGGCCAGCCUGCACUACAAAUCAGACAAGCACAGCUCUUUUCAGGAUUUGAAAGGAGGUUGGAAGGCACAUAAUUUUAUUGAGCCAGCUGGUUAUUUAGAUACUCGUAAGGGAUUUGAAAAAGCUGUUUCACAGAAGACGCUCUCAACAAAAGCAAGAGCCUUCUCGACCCAUUGUUCUGCUGACGAUCAGCGGUAAAUAAUGGGCCACAAAACCCCUCUGGACGCAGCUGCGCAGAACGCGCGGGGCCGCCAGCCAAUCAGACGCGAGCUCUGUUCGCCGCCGCCGGGCGGCUCUUCGGACGCUCCCCGGGUGGUUUUCCCUUUGUAAAGCGAUCGGCCUCCGGCGACGCGGCUAGAGCGCCUUCGUCAGGGUUUCCGCAGCUGCUCGCCCUUCCUUCAGCUUCUCCGCAGAGCGCCACUGUGUUAGCCACUCUACCAGAGAGCGGCUUUCCCUGCUGCGCUCUCAAGCCUUCCCGGCAAGGCGUCUUCUCUCCCGCGCGAGGAAGGCGUGGGACCCUCGCUCCGAGUCCCAGGCCGGGGGCCGCGCGCACGGCCAAGGCGGCGUCCCGGGAACAAAGGGG
rnacentral:lncRNA from 1 species